rnacentral:misc_RNA from 1 species
ACUUCUCAACUGCACUAGUUCUCUCUGGUGUAGCUUGGAUAUGGGGGGAUUUUGCAGGCUUUUUGUUUUGUUCAAGAGGCUCUGCUCCCCUGAAAUAUAUUAGUGGUCUCUGAGCAAACUACUACAGGUGUGAUAAUUAUCUAUGCCUUUGGGUAUUCUGCAUAAACAGAUUGCACCGCUUCUAAACAAAAGUUGUUUGAUAA